rnacentral:rRNA from 1 species
AUUGAACGCUGGCGGCAGGCCUAACACAUGCAAGUCGAGCGAGCGGCGGACGGGUGAGUAAUGCCUGGGAAUUGCCCAGUCGAGGGGGAUAACAGUUGGAAACGACUGCUAAUCCCGCAUACGAAUGGCUUGCCCAUGUGGGAUUAGCUAGUUGGUGAGGUAAUGGCUCACGAAGGCGACGAACCCUAGCUGGUAUGAGUGGAUGAUCAGCCACACUGGAACUGAGACACGGUCCAGACUCCUACGUGAGGCAGCAGUGGGGAAUAUUGCACAAUGGGGGAAACCCUGAUGCAGCAAUGCCGCGUGUGUGAAGAAGGCCUUCGGGUUGUAAAGCACUGUCAGCGAGGAGGCGUUACUCGCAGAAGAAGCACCGGCUAACUCCGUGCCAGCAGCCGCGGUAAUUC